rnacentral:rRNA from 1 species
UGAGUACGAGACGCUAAGGCGUCGAAGUAGUGGAUGUCAUACUUCCAAGAAAAGCUUGCACUGUCAUAAGUAAAAAAUGCCUGUACCAUAACCGACACAGGUGGGUAAGUAGAGUAUACUAAGGGGCGCGAGAUAACUCUCUCUAAGGAACUCGGCAAAAUAACUCCGUAACUUCGGGAGAAGGAGUGCCUUAUUCUUAAGGUUGCAAUAACAAGAUCCAAGCAACUGUUUAUCAAAAACACAGGUCUCCGCUAAGUCGUAAGACGAUGUAUGGGGGCUGACGCCUGCCCAGUGCCAGAAGGUUAAAGAAGUCGGUUAGCAAUAGCAAAGCUGGUAACUGAAGCCCUGGUGAACGGCGGCCGUAACGAUAACGGUCCUAAGGUAGCGAAAUUCCUUGUCGGGUAAGUUCCGACCCGCACGAAAGGCGUAAUGAUUUGGAUGCUGUCUCGGAGAGGGGCUCGGUGAAAUAGACUUGUCUGUGAAGAUGCGGACUACCUGCACCAGGACAGAAAGACCCUAUGAAGCUUUACUGUAACUUGAAAUUGAAAUUGGACUUUAUUCGCGCAGUAUAGGUGGGAGGCGUUGAUUAUAAUCUUGUGGGAUUAUUGGAGCCAUCAGUGAGAUACCACUCUUGUAAUGUUAGAUUUCUAACUUUGAAUCAUUAUCUGGUCAAAGGACAGUUUCAGGCGGGCGGUUUGACUGGGGCGGUCGCCUCCUAAACGGUAACGGAGGCGUACAAAGGUUUCCUCUGAACGGUUAGAAAUCGUAUCUAGAGUGUAAAGGCAUAAGGAAGCUUGACUGUGAGACCUACAAGUCGAGCAGGGACGAAAGUCGGUCUUAGUGAUCUGACGGUACUGAGUGGAAAGGCCGUCACUCAACGGAUAAAAGUUACUCUAGGGAUAACAGGCUGAUCUCCCCCAAGAGUUCACAUCGACGGGGAGGUUUGGCACCUCGAUGUCGGCUCAUCGCAUCCUGGGGCGGUAGUACGUCCCAAGGGUUGGGCUGUUCGCCCAUGAAAGCGGUACGCGAGCUGGGUUCAGAACGUCGUGAGACAGUUCGGUCCAUAUCCGGUGUAGGCGCUAGAAUAUUGAGAGGAGCCUUCUUUAGUACGAGAGGACCGAGAAGGACAUAACUCUGGUGUACCAGUUAUCGUGCCAACGGUAAACGCUGGGUAGCUAUGUAUGGAGUGGAUAACCGCUGAAAGCAUCUAAGAGGGAAGCCCACCUCAAGAUAAGUAUUCUCAUCACGUAAGUGAGUAAGGUCACGGUAAGACUAACCGUUUGAUAGGCAUUAAGUGUAAGUACAGUAAUGUAUGUGCUGAGAUGUCCUAAUAGACCGAGGACUU